GAGGAACAACACAAAACAAUCCCCUUGGAGAACUCAUCACACUUUGGCCAGAUUUUAUAAUAUGCUUGCACGAACCACCACUGUGCUUGUUGACCAACUCCUGGAUAUUUUCACAGCAAGGCAAUUUGACUCCAUUCGUCUUGAUGUGGAAAUUCACCACCCUACAAAUUUGCUGUCAAGCUGUCAGCCAUGAACCUUGCUAGGGCGUUCGAGAAAAAGCUCCAGUCUAUUGGGAGGAAACCCCACAUUUACAGUGCGGCAACAUCAAGACAAACUCAGAAUAUUGUAGGAAUUCGAAAAGGAACAAGACCGUAUAGCAGUGCAGAGUUUGAAGAACAGGCACAACCACCAACCUUCAUCAAACGCUUGAACUGGGUUGAAAAGGCAGAAAGAAGGGCCACAGGACUGUUACAAUUGCGAUGAGACACACACUAGUGACCACAAAUGUGAACACCUCUUUUGGUAGGAAAUGGCAGAGACGGAGUAGAAUGAGGAUUCAGAUAGUGUUGCCACUACCCUGGAGCCUGAAGGUCUCUCCAUGCAAUUUGAGCUUGAGUUUUGUUUUUUUUUUUUUUUGGGGGGGGGGGGGGGGGGAGUGAUGUUAUGAAUGGCAAGAUCAAGAGAAUCAAGACAAGAAUCAAAGAUGCAGUCAACAUCCAACAAAUUAAGGCAAUAAAAACAAUAUUAAUUAAUUAUUCUAUAGGAUAUUCUGAAAUCUUAUUUGUCUUUUAGUCAAGCAGACAUUAUUCUACUUGAGAUAGGCUGCU
rnacentral:lncRNA from 1 species